UGUACUUUUAUGCCAAUUGGAAUUAAAACUAAUGUUUUUUAAUUUUGUAGACGAAGUUACUACCUACAUGAAUCAACUAUAAAGACUUGAUCGACAAGGAUUUAAAACAGACUUAUGUGCAAAGGAAACAAUACCUUCUAUAGAGACUUGCACCCCUCGUUUGUCCCUUAUAUAAGGUAGGAACUUAUAGAACUUAUUUUUAAUAAUAAAUAAGAAUAGAAGUAGACGCAAUUAAUAAAUGUUGAUUUUCAAUUACAUUAAGUUAACUCCCUAUUAAUGGUAACCUGAAAUGUUUAUUAAUCCAGAAAAAAAUUCAUUUAUUAAAUUUCAAAACUUUCGCGCCUGAAUCCCCAAAAGUUGGUAUUGAAACCCUCUCGUCUCUGAUUGGUCGGUCAACAAUGCAUCUUUCAAGUGACGCCAUUCUUACAAAAUUUUCCUCUCAAACUUAGCUCCACAAUUUUUGGAAAUUUCUUAUAGUGAAAACGCAAGACCCUACGAUUUUUUUAUCAAAACGCGUUCUUUUAAUAGUCCGCUACAUGAGGUAUGUAUUUUUUUAUUUCGCCCCUAAAGGAUUUUCGUGAUUUUAUAAGAUAAACUUUCAGUAAUGUAACCUAUACCAUGAUAAAUAUUAAAAUUAUGAAAAACCGUAAAUAUAGUAUUGGUAACGUACUAAAUUCAUUAAGUUUUUCAAAGCAAGACUACUGCAAAGAUUUUUCUUCAUAUAUUUGUUGAUAUUCUAACGAUAGUGUAAAAUUUUGAUACUUGGACAUCUUCAUGAUAACUCAAUACAAAUACAACUACAUUGCAUUGCAUUUCCUAAAUAUCAUUUAAAACAUAUUUUCGUUCGUUGUUUUAGUAAUUUAAAGUUAGAAUUUUGUCACAAAUUCAUUUGUUUUCAAAAAAACAAAAGCAUACAGAACAAUAUAAUCAACACAAGAAGGUACUCUGAUGUCAACCAUUAAAACAUUUUACAAAAUAACAAUUUGUUGUGCUUUGGCAUCUGUAAUACGAAGCAUAAAAAUGACAAAGUUUUACUAAUUUUCGUAACUGUUAUCGUAUAAAAUCAACUCUUAAGGCAUUUCCUUUGUUUUUGUAGUAACUGGAAUGGAUUUUAUUAGUUUUUAAUUGUAAGACUUCAUCAACAUAUCAUCAAUACUCCACUACAAAGAUUUAAUUCACAUCAAGCUGAAAGCCUCCUUCAGUACAAAGGAAAUAGGACAUCCCUACAUCUCUGUUGAAGCUGCCAUCCACUGUCAUAACUUUUAAUUGGACUGAAAAUUAUACACCUUCGAAGUAAUGGCAACACCUACACUAACCAACUGGGAUGGACUCAAAUGAUAUGGACUUCUAAAAAGGCUUCUACUCCAUAUAUUAGGAUUAUAACGUACGUACUAGUCGACCCAAGUAAGAAUCAGGAUAAAAAACUAACAGCUUACAAGUACACCGUUUCACUACUGAUAUGAUGCUUCUCGAUGGUCCCCCACCACCACCCAGUCUCGCAUAGCAUUCGCUCCCCCUCCCACCAAGCAACACGGAGAGGAUGAGGACCCUGGACAUCCAACGCUGGAUAGAUUAAGGUUUCGGUGAACCCUAUAAGGUCUAGCCGACGCCUCAAAGUAGGUCACUAAUGAAUUUUGCUUCAAAUAGACCUGAGUGACAAGUUUUUAUAUUUCUAUUUUUGAUUUUUAUUACUUUGGGGCUAUAUUUGAUUUUCGUGCCCAAUAAGAUAAGUUACAAACUGUAAUUUAGUGUACUAUUGGGCUCCUCUGUUGGUCCAUUAUUACCCACUUUAGACGCUCCACGUGUUAGGGACCGACGUAUGCAGGUGCUGCGCCUGUGACGUCAAACUUUGAUUCUCAUUUGGGUUUUAUAAUGAUUAGCUGUUGGUUCAGGUCCUUUACAACGUAUCACAUAUCCAUAUCUAUCUGUUGUUGUUUUUUGAUGAACUGAUGUUAUAAAAUAGAGAACAUUUAAAAUUACGAUUGUAAUACAUGCAUGGUGUUUUGUCCACGUUGUCCCUUGGGUUUUGUGUUCCACAUACAUACAAACUUUUUACAAAUUUAUUAAAUGUUGUGCAUGUUUACUUGUCACUCGUUGGGUCUAUCUGAUAUUUCUUUCAGCUAGUGGAUAUAACAGAGCAGUAAAGAAGACAGUGUUGUUGAAAAGUUAAGUGUUGGAGUAAUGUAGCCGAGAUCUACCUCUACUUCUCUUUACUCCUGUUUCUGCUUCUCAUGUCUCAGAUGGUGUCCUACCAACUUUCUUUAAUUGAUUAUCAAAAUUAAUUUAUUUCAAUCAUCCUGCAUUUUCAAAAUCUCAUUUUUACCAAAACUAAUGCUACCCAUCUGAAGCACACACUCAUAGUAUAUAAAAUAUUAAAAGUUAAAAUAAAUCAAGGAGCAGAUAUAGAAAUUUUUGUUUGGGAGGAGUUUAGUAUUUAAUCCCAUCCCCACCAGGGAGUGUAACACCUCCAUGGAAAGCUCAAGAGUCGAGGAACAAUUUGGUGGGGAUCUGGGUUGUAGAAACCCCUGAUUCAAAAGCUGUGAAUUACGCCCAUCUCCUUAGACAAUCCAUGGGACAAGAGCUUGACUGAUGCUGUAUGGUUCGGUUGGGGCAGGUGUUUUGGAAUAGUCAUGGCGUUUAAAAUAUUAGAUAAACCUUUCUCCCACGUAUUGUCUAUGGAGAAGAGGUUUUUGGCAACCUGGACCCCCACCAAUGUAUUCCUCUACUCAAAUACUAAACUUCAGUCUUUUGUAUCACAAUCUAAACUUGACAAUUACCCCGAUUUUGUAAGUAAUGAAGGACAUACAGUACUAACACUCUACCAGUGGGUUCACAAUAAAUUACAUGUGUUUUAUUUUUUACUUUUGAAUAUGUUCCAGCACGAGCGGUAAGUAAAGAAAUACUUUACGUCCAACCAAAUAUCUUUUUAAACAAUGGUACUAACUUUCUUUUUUAUUUUCUUUUUCAGCAAUUCGUGGACCACGUUCCUGCCUUCAUUCUUUCUCUUCUCCCUUCAGAAGAGAAAGAAUAUCAAUUAAUUAACACACACACACACAACAUAAUUACACAUUUUGAUAGAGUCGUGAUCGAAGGUCUCCUCUUUUAAACUUAUUUAAACGUUAUUGCUUAUUUGGGGUGUCUGUUGUUCGGUUAAAGUAUUAAUUCUCCAUCUUCUUUAAACUUUGUCGUGGUUCUGUUGUCCCAUGUCUCGAUUCGUUACAGGUUGGUUGUAUAUUUGUGGCAACAGUCUCCUCAGUUCUUUAUAAAUACAAAAAAGGGUACCUAGUGAAUUGGUAAUUUUUGGUUUCCACUGUAUCACAUGAAUUGCUUACGAUUUAUGAUUAAUUAUACAGAUAGGUAGGAUAUAUGUAGAGUAUUUAUGGUGUAGGUAUUGUAUAUAUCUACGUACAAGUAGAAUGUAGGCUAAGUUAUGCUCCACAACACCUUACCCCAUUUAGAACGCCCAUGACUCUGUUCUACUACGAGACAAGGUCGACCUCUCGCCCUGAUUUCUUAGCAAGGACUUGAAUAUAUUUGAAUAAGAGGCAAAUUUAAUAUAAAUAAUGUCGUUACAUUCGACGUUUCGUUAGGUAUAUCCGAACAUCGUGACUGUUUCAAAGGUACUACACAAAAAGUGCGUGAUUUUUUAAUCGCCCUUGUUUUGAACUUAUUAAUUUUAU